rnacentral:rRNA from 1 species
GUGGGGAAUAUUGGACAAUGGGGGGAACCCUGAUCCAGCCAUGUCGCGUGUGUGAAGAAGGCCUUUUGGUUGUAAAGCACUUUAAGCGAGGAGGAGGCUACCGAGAUUAAUACUCUUGGAUAGUGGACGUUACUCGCAGAAUAAGCACCGGCUAACUCUGUGCCAGCAGCCGCGGUAAUACAGAGGGUGCAAGCGUUAAUCGGAUUUACUGGGCGUAAAGAGCGCGUAGGUGGCCAAUUAAGUCAAAUGUGAAAUCCCCGAGCUUAACUUGGGAAUUGCAUUCGAUACUGGUUGGCUAGAGUAUGGGAGAGGAUGGUAGAAUUCCAGGUGUAGCGGUGAAAUGCGUAGAGAUCUGGAGGAAUACCGAUGGCGAAGGCAGCCAUCUGGCCUAAUACUGACACUGAGGUGCGAAAGCAUGGGGAGCAAACAGGAUUAGAAACCCUUGUAGUCC